rnacentral:rRNA from 1 species
GAUGAACGCUAGCUACAGGCUUAACACAUGCAAGUCGAGGGACCGGCGCACGGGUGAGUAACACGUAUCCAACCUGCCCUUUACUCGGGGAUAGCCUUUCGAAAGAAAGAUUAAUACACGAUAUAAUGGAUGGGGAUGCGUUCCAUUAGGUUGUUGGUGAUGUAACGGCCCGCCAAGCCUUCGAUGGAUAGGGGUUCUGAGAGUAAGCGCCCCCACAUUGGAACUGAGACACGGGCCAAUCUCCGACGGGAGGCAGCAGUGAGGAAUAUUGGUCAAUGGGCGUUAGCCUGACCCAGCCAAGUAGCGUGAAGGAUGAAGGCUUAUGGGUCGUAAACUUCUUUUAUAGAAGAAUAUGUAUUAUAUGAAUAAGGAGCGGAUAACGAGGUGCCAGCCGCCGCGGUAAUAC